GGCUCUAGGCUCUUAGCUCUCUCUUUCGCCAGCUUUCUCUCAGUCCAAUUUCGUUGUCUUUUCUCAUGAAGCAGAUCCUCUCUAUUCCUUCGCGUUCCAGUUCUUCUCUUUCUCUGUUUCUUCAGCCACCGAUUACUAUUAUAUUGUCCGCCUGAGAUUGUAUUUUCUUGACCUAGGGUUUGCAUCGCUGUUUUUUCCAAGCGUAUAUUUUCGCAUUGCAAGAACCUUUUCUUUGGAGCACAAUGAACUUGAGUAGAUUUCUUUUUGGAUCCGCUUGGCUGCCGAGAAUCUUAUCCCAGACACGUUGCUAGCCCUAGCUAGCUCGGCUGCUCAUAAGAUAACAAUCCAAGAAAACCGGGUUUGUUUCAAAGCAAGACUUGUCUUCAGCCAUCAGAUGAGGAUUAGGAACGAAAACUUCCAAGGAAAUAUGGUGCCCUCCUUUGAAUAUGGAUGGGCAAGGCCACACAACGUCCGCCCAUGGAAGCUGGGCAAAGGGCGAGGGAUAGAAAAUUUGCCAGGAUUGGGCUGGUUUCAGCCAUAAAAUAAGAUAAUAGUUAAAAGAAAGCGGAUUUUGAUUCAAAGCACAGACGGUCUCCAGCCAUCAG